AACGAACGCUGGCGGCAGGCUUAACACAUGCAAGUCGAACGCCCGUAGCAAUACGGGAGUGGCAGGCGGGUGAGUAACGCGUGGGAAUCUCCCCAAAGGUACGGAACAACUCAGGGAAACUUGAGCUAAUACCGUAUGUGCCCGAGAGGGCAAAGAUUCAUCGCCUUUGGAUGAGCCCGCGUUGGAUUAGCUAGUUGGUGGGGUAACGGCCUACCAAGGCGACGAUCCAUAGCUGAUCUGAGAGGAUGAUCAGCCACACUGGGACUGAGACACGGCCCAGACUCCUACGGGAGGCAGCAGUGGGGAAUCUUGGACAAUGGGCGAAAGCCUGAUCCAGCCAUGCCGCGUGAGUGAAGAAGGCCUUAGGGUUGUAAAGCUCUUUUACCCGGGAAGAUAAUGACGGUACCGGGAGAAUAAGCCCCGGCAAACUUCGUGCCAGCAGCCGCGGUAAUACGAAGGGGGCUAGCGUUGUUCGGAUUUACUGGGCGUAAAGCGCACGUAGGCGGAUUGGUU
rnacentral:rRNA from 1 species